GCAUUUGGCCAUACCACACUGAAUAUAUCCAAUCUAUGAUCUUGGAAGCUAAGCAGGUUCUGGCCUGGUUAGUACUUGGAUGGGAGUUUCUAUUAAUGUAAUCACUGUGAUCAUAUUAA
rnacentral:rRNA from 1 species